UUACGGUCAUAACACGUUGAAACACCGGUUCCCGUACGAUCACCGAAGUUAAGCAACGUCGAGCCUGGUCAGUACACAAAUCGGUAAUCGCUUG